rnacentral:rRNA from 1 species
GUGAGGAAUUUUCCGCAAUGGGCGAAAGCCUGACGGAGCAAUGCCGCGUGAAGGAUGCAGGCCUAUGGGUUGUAAACUUCUUUUCUCAGAAAAGAAUUAUGACGGUAUCUGAGGAAUAAGCAUCGGCUAACUCUGUGCCAGCAGCCGCGGUAAGACAGAGGAUGCAAGCGUUAUCCGGAAUGAUUGGGCGUAAAGCGUCUGUAGGUUGUUUAAAAAGUAUUCUGUCAAAGAUUAGGGCUUAACCCUAGAUAGGCAGAAUAAACUUUUAAGCUAGAGUUUGGUAGAGGCAGAGGGAAUUCCCGGUGGAGCGGUGAAAUGCGUAGAUAUCGGGAGGAACACCAAAGGCGAAGGCACUCUGCUGGGCCAAUACUAACACUGAGAGACGAAAGCGAGGGGAGCAAAUGGGAUUAGAAACCCGAGUAGUCC